rnacentral:rRNA from 1 species
GACGAACGCUGGCGGCGUGCUUAACACAUGCAAGUCGAACGGAAAGGCCCUGCUUUUGUGGGGUGCUCGAGUGGCGAACGGGUGAGUAACACGUGAGUAACCUGCCCUUGACUUUGGGAUAACUUCAGGAAACUGGGGCUAAUACCGGAUAGGAGCUCCUGCUGAAUGGUGGGGGUUGGAAAGUUUCGGCGGUUGGGGAUGGACUCGCGGCUUAUCAGCUUGUUGGUGGGGUAGUGGCUUACCAAGGCGUUGACGGGUAGCCGGCCUGAGAGGGUGACCGGCCACAUUGGGACUGAGAUACGGCCCAGACUCCUACGGGAGGCAGCAGUGGGGAAUAUUGCACAAUGGGCGGAAGCCUGAUGCAGCAACGCCGCGUGCGGGAUGACGGCCUUCGGGUUGUAAACCGCUUUCGCCUGUGACGAAGCGUGAGUGACGGUAAUGGGUAAAGAAGCACCGGCUAACUACGUG